UGGGGAAUAUUGCACAAUGGGCGCAAGCCUGAUGCAGCCAUGCCGCGUGUAUGAAGAAGGCCUUCGGGUUGUAAAGUACUUUCAGCGGGGAGGAAGGCGAUAAGGUUAAUAACCUUGUCGAUUGACGUUACCCGCAGAAGAAGCACCGGCUAACUCCGUGCCAGCAGCCGCGGUAAUACGGAGGGUGCAAGCGUUAAUCGGAAUUACUGGGCGUAAAGCGCACGCAGGCGGUCUGUCAAGUCGGAUGUGAAAUCCCCGGGCUCAACCUGGGAACGGUAUUCGAAACUGGCAGGCUAGAGUCUUGUAGAGGGGGGUAGAAUUCCAGGUGUAGCGGUGAAAUGCGUAGAGAUCUGGAGGAAUACCGGUGGCGAAGGCGGCCCCCUGGACAAAGACUGACGCUCAGGUGCGAAAGCGUGGGGAGCAAACA
rnacentral:rRNA from 1 species